AUUUGAGAAAAAAAUAAAGAAGUAAAUGUGGAAACUGAACCGGCUGAAAACAACUUCUUAUCCUCUGACCAUUAGUAUUGGAGGCCAUAUAAAAUGGAGCAGGUUAGAUCAUUGUUUUCAGUAAAAAAUAAUUUGGGGAAUAACCAAAAAUGGAUGACUAAGGAGACCCUUACUCCAAAUCUUGAUAAUAUUUAUUCAGUAUUUCUGCAUAAAUAAGUUGCCUCCAGGAGAGAAAAUUUCAUUUUCUUAGGACAUACAUCCUGCCAUUGGAACCAAUAAACUUCGAUUCAUCACUAAAAUGAACCUGCGACCACUGAUCUUCUGUCCAACUGACAUGUUUGAGAGCAAAACAAAGACAGGCUCUUUGAUUCUUCUUGGAGAUCAGAGAUUUCUUUACUGGUGCCUGAGCAAGCAACCCAGAACCUCUUAACCUCCCAAAAACUGUUUUUGCAUGAUAUGUUGAUAUCGGAAGUGGAGCUAAACUCUUAAACCUAUCCUUCAGUGACAUUCUAACCAUAAUGCGAUCCAGUCUUGGAGUUUUUCGAGGUUUGCCGGUUUUAGGUUUAGCAUCUGUUGAUCCUGAUGACUUAAAACGAGUUACAAUUCA
rnacentral:lncRNA from 1 species